UACUCAUGAUGGACUCCCCUUUCCUCGUGAGAGCCGGGCUCUUGAGCUGCUCACGUGGCGAGUUUUGAACAACCAUACCAUAGAGGUCCUAUUUGGUCAGGAAAAAGAUUCGGUUUCACGUGGCGGUUGAGGGACUAGAGACCUCUUUGCUCUACGUGCUUCUAAGAUCAGGAGGAAAGGCCAGUGAUCUUUUAGAUCAAAGUUUACGAUUCAGCUCUUAAAGACUGUGAGACUUGGAGCUCCCAGGUCUAUUCUAAAAUCUUUUAACAUGGCACUAGAUGGACAAAAUGUUUACUCAAUACAAAAGCCCUGAGGAAUAUGGAGAAAAGAAAUCUGAGGCAGGUAAAUAAAAGGGGAUGGGAAAUUUACCUGGAGAUGAGGAGUUUACUUUCAAGUCGAGUGGCUUGACUGGCGUGGGUGCCAACUAGGGUUGAGACGACGAGUGGUGUUAUGACGCAGGUCAGAAACAGGAAGGAGAGUGAGGGGUUGGCCGGACAAGCAGGUUUCCCCUGGCGCCUGAGACCCAGGAAGCCUUCUUAAUUGUUUGCAUAUGUGAGGUGCAUAUGCACGUUGCAUGGACAACUGACUGCACCUGGGACUGUUACAGAUUCUCAGAGAUCUGGGGCUCAAAAAGUGGCGGAGACUCCCUCCUGAGCUUGUCAACCUGACAGACCUCAGAAAGCAGGUGAGCAGGCAUUUCAACCACAAGAUGCUGCACAGACAUUUUCCAACAUUUGAAAAACAAUCAAGGCUCAAUUCUGGAACCAACACCAGUCACAGAUGACUGUAGCCUUUUGGUGUAUGCGAAGUUUUGGAUUCCGACCCUGCUGUUAUGCUUGUGUCGCUUGAACUUUGGAUUUGUGUCUGCAGAAUGAGCUCACGUGGACUCAGAGAGCCACAGAUUGCGAGAAGACUUUCAAGGCGAUCUCCUGUUUUCCAGAUGAAUAAACCAAGGCCCAGACUUGUUAUGAGGCUGUUUGAGUGGGGUCCAACAGCAUUCCUCUCUGCAAUGCCGUGCCUGUAUCCCAUUCCACAUCUCUCUCAACAGGAAAGGAUCCCUAUUCAGUGCUUUCUAAAAGGCCCCCUGUGGGGUUGCACCAACCGAUGGUUGUAGCAAGCUUUAGUGCCAUACGGGAUUGUCAAUACUCCACGUCAGUGCAAGUGACCCCCUUGGGAGGCAGCAAUGACCAAAAUCAGUCAAUUAGCUGAAAGAAGGUGGAUUGGCAAUGCAGUCAUUUGGAAAACCAUUUAAUUUCACUUGCUGCCAACUUCAGAUAAGAUGCAUAUGCACAAUUAGCUACAACAAGAGUAUUGCUUAAUAUUUUUUCCAAGUGUUUAAAUACUACCACUUAUUGGUGAUUACCUCUUUGCAUAUUUGUAAGAAAACAAAUAAAAUGAAACGUAUUACUGGUAUAUUAAGCCAUGUUUUGUUAUAAGGGAUUUGAAUAAAUUUCAUAUUUUAGUCUGCCAAUUAUGUUCUUUCUUUUCCAGUUUCUGAGUAUAAUUAAUCAAAACAGUACUGGGUCUGUGAUCAAAGUUUAUAUUAAUAUUUAGAUUAUUAAAGUACUGAGAGGAAAUGAUUUUCCACAAAAUACAUUUUUACUUAGCUAAUUAAAUAAUUUCCCAUUUUACUCUAUGAGAGAAAAAAGAGGCAGAAAAUAACUUUGAGGUUUCUAACAUGAGCAACUCAGAAGAUGAAUUCACAUAAUUAGAAAUACAUUAAUAGUUGUGGGAGAUUAUUUGCAAAAAGGACUGUUAUAAUUUCCUCCCUCUCUCCAUGUCCUUGAGCAUUUCCCUCCCACACUGACUCUUGGCUUAACCAUGUGCCUUGCUUUGGUUAAUGGGACAAUAGCAAAUGUGAUAUAAGCAGAGACUUGAAAAGUAUUGGUGUGUUUUUCUUGGAAACUCUGCAAUCACACCAUGUGAAUGAGCCCAGGCUAGCUUGCUGGAUGAUGAGGGACACAUGGCCAAGUUAUGCCCUGCCUCACCUGACAUAGUGCCAACAGCCAGACGUGUGAAUGAGGCCCUCUGGGAUGAACCAAUCUCCGCCAAGCUUACCCCGACCGGAAGAACAGCCAGCCGAAUAAUAAGAAAUUAUAAAUAUUUAUCUUUUUUAAAAUUAUCUUUUAAGCCACUAGCUCUUGGGGUGGUUUGUUUUGUAACAAAAGCUAAAUGUUAUGAAAAUAUCGUCUUUAAAUAUUCACUUGUAGAGAGAGAAAAAAAGAGAUUAAAUGAUUUAUAGCUCCGUUCCACUAGUCCAGUCACAGUAAAAUUUAUUGAAAGAGAUGUGUACACUCAUUGUCUCCACUUCCUUUCUCCUAAAUAGCCUUAAACUCCAGCUGAAUUUCUCUCUGCUCCACUCUCCUGAACCUGCUUCUAGAACGUCAAACUCUCCUGGCCUACCACUCUUGUCCCUUUCAGUCUCCUUUCUGUCCCAGUUUCCAAAGGUUAAGCCUCUGGGUCUUCUCUAUUUUACACUAUUUCUCUGCUCAACUUAUCCUGUCCCAUAGCUUUGAAUGCUGUCUAUACACUCAUGACUCCCAUAUUUACAUCUCCGACCCUCCUCUCU
rnacentral:lncRNA from 1 species